rnacentral:tRNA from 3 species
GCCGCGAUGGCGGAAUUGGUAGACGCGCGAGACUUAAAAUCUCGUUCUAGCAAUAGAGUGUGGGUUCGAUUCCCACCCGCGGCACAA